rnacentral:ncRNA from 1 species
AUUGUAUUUAGCCAAACUUAUUGCGAAAUAAGGACGGAAAGCUGUGAGUCUUAAAUUUUGUGUAAAAUUGAAGAUUGUCUAGUUGCACUU